GGUUCGGCCAUACUGGUGAAAAUAGGUCCGUCCGAUCAGGCCAUAGUCAAAGCACCAGAGGAGCCUAGUUAGUAUUGUGUAGUGGGAGACCAUACGAGAAUCCUGGGGUGCUGCAAUC
rnacentral:rRNA from 1 species